GCGCAAGUGGUUUAGUGGUAAAAUCCAACGUUGCCAUCGUUGGGCCCCCGGUUCGAUUCCGGGCUUGCGUC
rnacentral:tRNA from 1 species